UUACUUAAUUAAAACAUGUUUUUACAAUUUUUGCUUUGAAAAAAAAACAAACAUUCUGACUUUUGUUUUAAGAAAAAUCCUAAAUGCCUUAUGGCUCCCCAUCUCCCACGCUCUCCCUUCGCUCUUCAGCCGAAAGGCCAGUACCCAGGCCUUCCAUUAGCAGCCAGCGAAGGCCCGCCGACGGUGCGUGCUCGGUGUGACUCCGGUGAACUUCCUCUCUUUCUCUCCUACCUUUAAUUUGUGUUGUGGAUCUGAAUGGGAAAAGAAAAAAAAAAGGUACGUGGAGACGUGAAGAGGGCGUUCAUGGGCGUGGACGCGCGAACCAGGGGGUCGUGCUCGGUGUGCCGACGCACGUGGUGGAGGGAAGCAGCAACUGUUUCCUUUUUUGCUGAAAAGUUAGUCUAGUAUUGCGCUGUUUGGGCUCUAGGGUUAGGUUCAUUUUUGAGCUUAUAAUUGGAUUUGAUGUUUUUGUAAUUUUUGGACUUUUUUGUAAUUUUUGUUUUUGUAAUAUUUGGACUUUUUUGGAUUUUUACGUGAGUUUUAUUUAUUGGUUUUUUGUAUGUGUAUGGGCCCGGGCUAAAAAUUAGGUCUAUAAUAAUGAUAUUAGUUAGUUCAAAUAA